UACAGAGGGGGCAAGCGUUAUUCGGAAUUAUUGGGCGUAAAGGGCUCGUAGGCGGCCAACUAAGUCAGACGUGAAAUCCCUCGGCUUAACCGGGGAACUGCGUCUGAUACUGGAUGGCUUGAGUUUGGGAGAGGGAUGCGGAAUUCCAGGUGUAGCGGUGAAAUGCGUAGAUAUCUGGAGGAACACCGGUGGCGAAAGCGGCUUCCUGGCCCGACACUGACGCUCAUGUACGAAAGCGUGGGGAGCAAACAGG
rnacentral:rRNA from 1 species